rnacentral:snRNA from 1 species
UAAAAGUAAAAUAAAAUUGGAAUGACACAGAGAUUAGCCUGGCCCCUGCAAAAGGAUGAAAAGCAAACUUGUGAAAUGUUUCAUAUUAAA